rnacentral:rRNA from 1 species
AUUGAACGCUGGCGGCAGGCCUAACACAUGCAAGUCGAACGAGUGGCGGACGGGUGAGUAAUGUCUGGGAAACUGCCUGAUGGAGGGGGAUAACUACUGGAAACGGUAGCUAAUACCGCAUACCAUCAGAUGUGCCCAGAUGGGAUUAGCUAGUUGGUGGGGUAACGGCUCACCUAGGCGACGAUCCCUAGCUGGUCUGAGAGGAUGAUCAGCCACACUGGAACUGAGCCACGGCCCAGACUCCUACGGGAGGCAGCAGUGGGGAAUAUUGCACAAUGGGCGCAAGCCUGAUGCAGCCAUGCCGCUUGUAUGAAGAAGGCCUUCGGGUUGUAAAGUACUUUCAGCGGGGAGGCGUUACCCGCAGAAGAAGCACCGGCUAACUCCGUGCCAGCAGCCGCGGUAAUUC